GACGAACGCUGGCGGCGUGCUUAACACAUGCAAGUCGAACGGAAAGGCCCUGCUUUUGUGGGGUGCUCGAGUGGCGAACGGGUGAGUAACACGUGAGUAACCUGCCCUUGACUUUGGGAUAACUUCAGGAAACUGGGGCUAAUACCGGAUAGGAGCUCCUGCUGCAUGGUGGGGGUUGGAAAGUUUCGGCGGUUGGGGAUGGACUCGCGGCUUAUCAGCUUGUUGGUGGGGUAGUGGCUUACCAAGGCUUUGACGGGUAGCCGGCCUGAGAGGGUGACCGGCCACAUUGGGACUGAGAUACGGCCCAGACUCCUACGGGAGGCAGCGGUGGGGAAUGUUGCACAAUGGGCGGAAGCCUGAUGCAGCACCGCCGCGUGCGGGAUGACGGCCUUCGGGUUGUAAACCGCUUUCGCCUGUGACGAAGCGUGAGUGACGGUAAUGGGUAAAGAAGCACCGGCUAACUACGUG
rnacentral:rRNA from 1 species